AUGGAUCAGUGUGAGGACAGAGAGGAGGGAGUCCCUCCCUCUAAAAGCACUCUGUGUGGGGAACAUGAGAGCCAGACCAAAGCUCAGAGGAACCAACCUGGACCUCCACCCAGCUUAAAGAACGACGAGUUAAAGGACAUUGGGUCCUCUCCUGCAGAGAGAUCAAAGAUGGAGAAGUCUGUUCAGGAGCAGCUGCUGGAUAUGCUGGAUGAUUUGGGAGAAGAGGAGCUGGAACGUUUCCACUUUUAUCUGGAGAAAGGAGCUGGAGGUGAUUUCACAACCAUCAAAAAGAGCCGUCUGGAGAAAGCAAGCAGAACAAGAACAGUGGAUCUUAUGGUGGAGACAUAUACUACUGACCGCGUGAUGGAGGCGGCAAGCUUAAUUUUAAAGAAGAUGAAUGAAGGAAGUCCUUCAGCCCAGGGAGCUUCAUCGCGUUUAUCAGAAGGUAAGAAUUCAUGUUUGUCUGUAGAGACGUCAAUAUGGCAGAAACCCAUGAAGCCUGAGCUGACCAGUCAGAACUCUGAUUGUUUCUAUGUGUUAUUUCUGUAGCCUCAGUGUAGCUCUGCUGUAUGAUUAAAGUCAGAGCUCCAAUGAAUGAAAGGUUGUUUGGUUUAAUAAUGUCUAACUUUAGUUCACUGCAUGUAACAGCAAACAACAUUAAAACAGAGGGCAUGGUUACACAGCUUUAAAUAAGCUGUGAGGAUCGCUCAUAACAGUUUACAAGAAAUCUAGAAAAAAACAUCUAGCAUGUUUGGACUCAGAAAUAGUCACAGUUACCAUGCUUUAGGGCCUUAUAAUACAUUUAGACCUUCACUCUUCAUGGUUUUAAAUGGAUUUUACAUUUUAAACUAGAGUUUUUAGAAAUGUUUUAUUAAUUUAAGUGAUAUAAAUGAAUGAACUAAAGAUAUUCAAUAUUUUAACUGUGAUGUGCAAGAUGUUAUUAGUUUAAAAUUAUCAAAGUAAGUCAAUAAUUAAUAAACAAAAAACAUGUCAAUUCCAACAUGAUUGGAAUUCACAUAAAAUCCAGCUGUCUUCUGUCACCUCAAGGUGCCUCAUGUUAUAAUGCAGAGACGCUACAAUAGUGCAGAGAAAAGCUUAACAAUGAGACAGCCCCCUUUGAACAGUAGGAAGAAAAAACUCCCAUUUAACAGGCAGUGUCAAAGAAUUGUUUCAGCAAGCAAAGAAAAACACAACUCAAACAUGUAGAUCUACAUGGGUGAUCUCAGUGGAGAAUCACACACGAGCCCCCUGCGUAUCCUUUAUUUAUACUCAAGUCUUAAUUCACAUGUUAUGAGGCGGUGCUCUUAGUAUAGAGAAACAACUCCUUUUACAGAAAGCAAGCUGGGGGUAGGCAGUUAACUGUCGUGCUGGAAACAGGAACCAACUGUUCCUGUUUCUACAAAAUCAUGUGAACACAGCGGACACAAACAUUUCUUCAUAUCCUUAAGGUUACACAGCAUCCCUUAUGCAAGGGUUUAAAUGAAGCUAAAGUGAACUGUAAAACAUGCAGACAUGCUGUGGAAGAGGGUCAGAGAUUUAUAACAGCUGUAGAUAAAGUGCUGAGUGCUGUAUAAACAGGGAGAGGAGGAGGAGAAGAAAAAGAAGAAGAAGAAACACCCAGUGUAUCAUGGGAAUCCCCAGCAGCCUACGUCUAUUGCAGCAUAACUAAGGGAGGAUUCAGGGUCACCUGGUCCAGCCCUAACUAUAUGCUUUAGCAAAAAGGAAAGUUUGAAGCCUAAUCUUGAAAGUAGAGAUAGUGUCUGUCUCCCGAAUCCAAACUGGAAGCUGGUUCCACAGAAGAGGGGCCUGAAAACUGAAGGCUCUGCCUCCCAUUCUACUUUUAAAUACUCUAGGAACAACAAGGAAGCCUGCAGUGCGAGAGCGAAGUGCUCUAAUAGGGUGAUAUGGUACUACAAGGUCAUUAAGAUAAGAUGGGGCCUGAUUAUUUAAGACCUUGUAUGUGAGGAGCAGGAUUUUGAAUUCAAUUCUGGAUUUAACAGGAAGCCAACGAAGGGAAGCCAAAACAGGAGAACAGCUGUGUGAAGGACCAAAAAGCUCUCCAGAGAGUGAUCCGUACAGCAGAACGCUGCUGCAGGAUUGCUCUCCCCCCACUUCAGGACACCUACACCAGGAGAUGCCGGACUAGAGCAACGCAGAUACUGAAGGACCCGUCCCAUCCUGGCAACAAACUGUUCCAACUUCUACAAUGUGGUAGAAGGUUCCGCAUCAUCCAAGGACAGAGAGACUCAAGAAGAGCUUCUAUCCUCAAGCCAUCCGGACCCUAAACCAACACCCCCCCCCCCCACACACACACACACACACACCCGCCAUCUCACAUCAUCUAUAAUUGACUGAGACUCUCCUCCAGACACUCAAUUCCUUUAACUUCCUUUAACUUUAAAUAUGUUUAUAGUGUCCAUUCUGUAAAAUAGUCAGAUGUCUAUUCAUAUUAAUGUACAGAAUUCACCUGCUGCUGCUUCUACUGCACAUUCACCCAAUGUAUAUACUAUAUAUAUAUAUUUAUAAUGUUAUUCCUCUACCCCCCCCCCCCCCCCCCCAUGUUUUUGCACAUGUCGAGGAUCGUGUCAGGAUACAUUUCACUGUGUGUUAUACUUGUAUAACUAUGCAUGUGACAGAUAAAGAACCUUGAACCUUAAACCUUGAUAUGCUCUCUCUUUCUAGUCCCUGUCAGGACUCUUGCUGCAGCAUUUUGGAUUAGCUGAAGACUUUUCAGUGAGUUCAGAACUGAAGAAGCUUCUCGGAUGAGAGGUGAAAUGUCUUCAAGCAACUCAAGAAGUCCAGACGCUUUUCUUUCCAAGCUCCUUAGUCAACUAUUUUUAUAUUUGUUGCACUUUCUGCUCAUCUUGGACAGACGACUCUUGAAAAUCCAUUUUCCUAAUAUAUGUUAUACUAAUAUAAUACAUAUACAUAUAUAAUACAUACUAAUGAUGAAGGAACUGAGCUCACAGUCCAUUGCUCAUUCAGUGAACUACUUAAUUUAUUUUGGGCCUCAGAAAUGCUCACUCUGUUUGUACAUCACUUAUUGUCCGCAAUAGAGCUCAUUCUGCUUUGUAGACACAUACACAUGUGACAUCACUUCCUCUUUAUUUUUCAUGUAGCGUUUGAUCAAAUUAGAGCUGCAUGAAAAACAAUGAAACAGCUUCUAAAAGUUUGACAUCAAAGCAAAUCUAAUGUCUGUCACCAAAUUCCAGCAGAUUCUUCACCAGGACCCUUUGUGAUAGUUUUCGUGUUUCAGACAAACUAAAGUGAUACACAACAUAUGCAGUAACAUUUUUACAUGUUUCUAAGAGUUUGAUAACUAAGCUGUUACCAACAUCCUGCACCAUGUUCUUGUUCAACAUGGGAAAAACACAAGACUAGUUUCAAAUGAGGAUUGAAGCCUUUGCUGUUUUUUAGAUAAGCCACGUGCAUUAUGAUCCCUCAAUACAAUCAGAUUCUGUUUAGAACUGCAUUCAAAACUAUUGAGCCUGAUAGGUUUGUAGCAUAAACCUAUUCGCUGGAACGUUCAGGACAAUUUGCUACACAGCAAAAACAAGACACAAGUAGGCAAAGUUCUUUGUAGUACUCAUGCAUGAGGGAGGCCUGCCUGGAGCCAAGUGUCGUUCCACCCACUUGACCUCCAUCAGACUCUCAGCCAGGUUCCCCAUAGCACUCCUUUUAUUGAGGUUACUUGAAUAUGCAUAGGUUCAUUAACAUAUGACAUCUUAUAUAGGUAUGCAUGUGAACAAAGAAUACCCUGUGUGUUUGUGUGUGUGUGUGUGUGUGUGUGUGUGUGUGUGUGUGUGUAUGUAUAUGUGUGGGGUCAAAAUGUGACCCCUUGAAGACUCCCCAAAGCUGGUGCCAGGAGUCUAGCAGUACAUCUGAACAAAAGGCCCUUACACUCAAACAGAUAUACGUGUGUUUGUUAUACCAUAUAUCAGCAAGAGAAGAUACGACCUCUCCUAGGAGGUGUGUGAUCUAUGAAGAGGAGUGGACGCACUCCCCUCUUCAUGCUACACAGAGUUGUUACAGACUAUUAAGGAUCAAACCUGCUAUCACUACACAAUCAAUUAUAUACUUCUAAGCAUAUAUGAGUAAAUAUUUCUAAGCAUAAAUGGCAAUAAACAAUACAAAUCUAACAGAGCCAAUAUUUUCAGCUUAUAUGGCUGAAACAUUUUCAAAUGAUGAGCUUCCAACAAUGAGUGAAACAGUAAGAGCAUGCGGAGAGUUUGGAAACAUCACAUUAAGAAAGAGAAAUCCAUCAUUUGGAUUCAUUUUAAUGAGCUCAGACUUGUUGAAAAUGCAGAGGAGCUUGUUGUGAACUGAGCUUCAGAGAAACACAACAUAGUGAUAUUCACUGUGAAGCUUUGAGUGAAAAAAGACAGAAAAACAACAUGUGUAUCCUUAAAUAAUGGGAGCUUCCAUCUUUAAAGGACUGAAGAGGAAGAAGUUUACAAGGAAUCAUUUAGAAGAGUUUAAAACAUCAACUGAUUGAAUCCAUCAAUCUGAAAACGUGUUUGUGAGUGAAAGAGACAGACAUGUACAGACUGAACUAUCUGUUCAACAGUCAGAGUGUUUCUCUAACAGG
rnacentral:lncRNA from 1 species